CAAUCUAUAGCUAUAAUUUAAAACCAAUGUAUUCCUCUUGUGAAUUAAACGUGUCUACAAGCUCCAUUUGUUUAAUUCUCUCAGUUCACAAAUCCUAGCAGCUAAACUUUCUUGAAACCAAAACUUGAUCAUAUUGGCGAUAGCGUUAACCUUCGGCUAGUUGUCGACAAUAACCUUUUCAACAAACUUUUUUCUGUUUUUAGUUUCAGUACCUUUUUUUUUUUAAAUAAUGAUUCUAAUUUUAAUCCAGUCUAUUUUUUUCUGAAGCUAGGAUGAUUUUUGUCUACCAUGUUUUCUCAUAAAGGAGUGGUAGUUUUAAUAUUAGCUUUAGUUCUUAUUUUUUGUUUUCCCUGUAUAUAGAAUCUUAUGAGAAGAGUGUUUGCAAAAUUGAACUCUGAGAUGUUAAGAAGGAUAGGUCAUUUGAGACUUGACUUUUUGUAUAUAUGAUGUAGUGGGUUUCUUAGGACUUUUGGCAAUAUUUUCUUGAUUGACAAGUAUUUAUCAUCAAGUUGGUCAAAUGAUGGUGGAAUUAGGAUGCAAGUGCUAGUAGUUUGAUCGAGGGGUUAAGAUGCAAGUAUCAGUUGUUUGAUCAACGUGAUGAAUUUUUGGAUUGUUUUUGAAUCUUUUUUAGUGUUGUAUUUACUGUGAGUUUGUGUUUAUCCUCUUUUUAGACCUUAUUUUGCAAAUAAUAACAUUUGUGUAACAACUUAUAUUAUUUCAUGUAUUGUAUAUGCUACGAGUCUUAGCUCAAUUGACAUGAAUAUUGUUGUCAAUGCAGGAGGAUGUGGGUUCGAG
rnacentral:lncRNA from 1 species